GGAUGGGGAGGAGAGGGCCGCGGUCCCCUUAGGCGGGAAAGUCGCGGGGUGGCCCACACAAAGCCCCUGCCUGCCGCCAAACACGGCCCAGCGGGCCCCGGCGAGCGCCACGUCGCGGGGCAGCCGCCCCACCCGCUGCCCCUUCCCGCGCCCCGGUCUCGGUCAGGACUGCCGGGGAGUAAGGGAAGCGAAGACCACGCUUUCCCGCCCUGAGAAGCCGCCACCUUUGUCUCAGGGCAUCGGCUCGGUCAGCAGCCUCGGUGGCCCUGACCUGCAAACAGAUGAUGAAAUGUGUUUCCAACCUUGGCAGCUCUGCUCACCGAGUGGUAAACAGGGAUGCAAUCAUUGAGUAUUUAGGGUCCGGACUGGAUAAGCCUGUCAAGGGUCCAGACAGAGCUGUGCACUCAGAGCUCACGUUCUCCUUGGGGUGCCGCCUCUCAGCGUCACCCAGGGUAGGAGACGAGUACAUCUCACGCCCAGGUAUUGGCUAUUAUUACCAUUUUUAAAAGUUGGCCGAAUGGAGUCCUACAACCUCAUAUCCUAAAUCUCAGGCCGGUCUUUGGCAUUUGUGUGGAUAGCCGCAGAUUCCUAACCUACCCUGUUGGUCUCUGCGCCCCAAGCGAGCAUCCAGGGCUGGCAGCAGGAGCAGUCAACUAAUGGCCCCAUCCAUCCAGUCAAGUUCCUCAGAAAAGGUUCUACCAAGGGGACUCUUCCCAGAACAAGGAGAACCCAAAUGACCAAGGAGUCAGCCACGUAGCCCGGAGCACACUUGCAAGCAAGUCCGUUGGGAACCCAAGUGACACAAAUUGGACACACAGGUCAUUGAAGCAAAUAUGACAGCCUAUUAACCACGGUGUAAUUCUGGGCGCCUUGCAGACAGAGCUCCUGGGUGAUUGGUUUGCUGUGAACGUCGGUAACUGGCCUAAUCCCAGAACCUCUAAAGAUCAUCAUCUCAAGGAACACAGUGAAAAGUGGGAAAAUAUACUCAAGCUGGCGGAGAGAAUGCUUUUCCCCAAUGAAACUGCCCAGGCUCUUCCAGUGGUCACUGGCUUUGCAGUUUACAGAGGUGCCAUUUCAGCCUCGUAGCUUAAAAAGUGGUUUCCUAGGAGUGAUCUGAUCAUUGCAUUUCAAGUAUUUUCUUCUCUUGGACAACAUGGUGAAUGGAAGAUGUUGCCUGCCACAUCAGUAAACAAAGGAUGUUGCAGCCAUCAAGCCACCACAGCUGACCCGACGGUUGUACAUUUUCCAGUCGACAAUAUCAAGGGAAGAACAAAAGUCAUGACCUGUGAAGUCAGUCACCCUGUUUCCUUUCCAUUCACAUAAGCAGAUACAUGAAAUCCUUCUCUGAAAGAUAAGCCAGGUGGAUGCGUAGUAGGAAGGACGGUGACCCCAGGGAUGUGCGUGCUUCACUCCCGGGAACCCGUGACUGUGUUCUCUUCCACGGCAGAUGUGGUCAAUGGUAUGGACCUUGAGUUGGCGCGACCACCCAGGUGGACCUAGUCUGCUCGUGAGCCCUACAGAGUGGAGAACCGACUGUGGUCAGAGUAAAAGCUGUGACAGCGAAGGGCCAGAGCAAUGCUGCACUGGUGGCUUUGAAGAUGGAGGAAGGGACCAUGAGCCGAGGAAAGCGGGCAAGUCCAGCAGCUGGGAAAGAGAAAGAAACAAGGUCUCCCCUAGAGCCUCCAGGAAAGGCUGAUUUUAGCCCAGGGAGACAUCUGGCCCCUAGGACUACAAAAUAAUAAAUUUGUAUUGUUUUAAGCCACCAAACUGUGGUAACUUUUCAGGGCCCCAAUAGGAGACUCAUGCAGAGUGUGACAUCCUCCAGCUAUUUCCAGAUAAGUAGUCAGCCCCAUCUUCGGAAGGGCAGCCUGUUUCUAAACUUGACAUAAUGAAAAAUUAAACAAGGCUAUUGCAUUUCCAAAUACCUUAAAGAUUCAUCCUCAUUUAAAUUUACUUUCUGUACCCCUGUCAGGAGAAGAAAAAGUGAAUUCUAAUCCAAUCUUUUUAAACAAUUUUAUUUAUUUAUUUUUAAAAUUAAUUUUAACCCAUUUUUCAACUCGUAAUCAACAAUCCUAUGGUCGAUUGACAAUCAUUUUUGGGGGAUAUGACUUUGAAUGGAGUUUUAAAAAUGUCCCUUAGCAUUACCUUAAGUCAAAUAAAAAUAAAUUAAUUUAGAAUCACAGAAUUUAAAAAUAGGCAGGAGCCUUGCGAGGUUCAAAUUCAAACUCUGCUGCUGGCCAGACAUUCACUAACCUGUAAUUUGCCAUAACUCACCCACCACGGUCUAUUUUGGAAUGAAUAAAUGUAUUAAGCAAA